AUUGAACGCUGGCGGCAGGCCUAACACAUGCAAGUCGAGCGGGGUUUUCGGAUCUAGCGGCGGACGGGUGAGUAAUGCGUAGGAAGCUACCCGAUAGAGGGGGAUACCAGUUGGAAACGACUGUUAAUACCGCAUAAUGUCUACGGACCAAAGUGUGGGAUCUUCGGGCCACAUGCUAUCGGAUGCGCCUACGUGGGAUUAGCUAGUUGGUGGGGUAAUGGCUCACCAAGGCGACGAUCCCUAGCUGGUUUGAGAGGAUGAUCAGCCACACUGGAACUGAGACACGGUCCAGACUCCUACGGGAGGCAGCAGUGGGGAAUAUUGGACAAUGGGCGCAAGCCUGAUCCAGCCAUGCCGCGUGUGUGAAGAAGGCCUUCGGGUUGUAAAGCACUUUCAGUAGGGAGGAAGGGUGUUGUGUUAAUAGCACAGCAUUUUGACGUUACCUACAGAAGAAGCACCGGCUAACUCUGUGCCAGCCGCCGCGGUAAAAC
rnacentral:rRNA from 1 species